GAGAGCCAGAUGAGGGGAGACCCUCACGUCCAGUUCGGAGGGCGGGGACUAAGGAAUCUUUUCGACAUGGAAAAUAAUCAAAAUCAACAACAAAUCCAAA
rnacentral:ncRNA from 1 species